UGCUUCCCUUCAGUUUAGGAUAUGACUGUCUAGUACUUGGCCACCACGUAAUCUUCAUAUCUAGACCAGCAUCGGUCUAUCUUCCAUAUGAGAAACUGAGAACUGGGCAACCAUGCAAUAUUUCUACCUGGAGCAGCAUCGACCCAUUUUCCUGAUGAGAAACUGUGAAUUUCCCAUCUGGCAUGAACACGGCUGUCUAGGACUUGGUCCCCAUGUAAUCUUCCAAUCUAGAACAGCAUCAGCCCAUUUUUCUGAUGAGAAACUUUGUUUAGGAUGUGGCUCUCUAGAAUUUGGCAACCAUGUAAUCUUCCAAUCUGGAGCAGCACUGAUCCAUUUUCCUGAUGAGAAACUGAGGUGAAUGUCUUUUAUAUUGUGAACAACAGAGUUAUGAAUAUUGAUACAAAUUUGGUGAUAUUUCAAAUGUUUUUUUAUCUGACAUCAACAUGUAUGCCUUGUGCUUGUCCCCCAUGUAAUCUACCCUAUCUAGACCUCCAUUAGCCCAUUUUCCAGAUGAAAAACCUGAAGGAAAUAUCAUGUAGAUAAUGAAAAAUAGAGCCAUGAUUGUUCAUACAACUUUGGUGAUGUUUCCUUUGUGCUUCCCGUCUGGCAUGAACAUGGUUAUCUAGAACUCGACCUCCGUAUAAUCUUUCGUAUCUAGACUUCCAUCAGCCCAUUUUCCAGAUGGGAAAACUGAAGAGAAUAUCUUGUAGAUAAUAAAAUAGAGCCCUGAUUAGUGAGAGAACUUUGG
rnacentral:lncRNA from 1 species